rnacentral:rRNA from 1 species
CGGUGGCGGGUGCCUAUAAUGCAGUCGAGCGAAUGGAUUAAGAAGCUUGCUCCUUAUGAAGUUAGCGGCGGACGGGUGAGUAACACGUGGGUAACCUGCCCAUAAGACUGGGAUAACUCCGGGAAACCGGGGCUAAUACCGGAUAACAUUUUGAACCGCAUGGUUCGAAAUUGAAAGGCGGCUUCGGCUGUCACUUAUGGAUGGACCCGCGUCGCAUUAGCUAGUUGGUGAGGUAACGGCUCACCAAGGCAACGAUGCGUAGCCGACCUGAGAGGGUGAUCGGCCACACUGGGACUGAGACACGGCCCAGACUCCUACGGGAGGCAGCAGUAGGGAAUCUUCCGCAAUGGACGAAAGUCUGACGGAGCAACGCCGCGUGAGUGAUGAAGGCUUUCGGGUCGUAAAACUCUGUUGUUAGGGAAGAACAAGUGCUAGUUGAAUAAGCUGGCACCUUGACGGUACCUAACCAGAAAGCCACGGCUAACUACGUGCCAGCCGCCGCGGGUAAUUUCAAA